AACAAGGCGUACCUGCGGACCUGCGGAGGGAUCGUUACCGAGUGUGGUCCCAUAUAAGGGGCGCCUCCCGUCCUUUGCAGGGCCUUUAGGGGCUUUUUGACUUUGCUUCGGCGGGCUUGCCCCGCCGGAACACCCUCAAGAAAAUCUUUAUGAACCGUUUGUCUGAGUUGCUUGCGAAUAAAAACAAAACUUUUAGCAACGGAUCU
rnacentral:misc_RNA from 1 species